rnacentral:rRNA from 1 species
AACGUAGGAGACAAACGUUAUCCGGAGUUACUGGGCGUAAAGGGCGUGUAGGUGGUUUCGUAAGUCUGGCGUGAAAUUUUUCGGCUUAACCGGGAAAGGUCGUCGGAUACUGCAGAACUAGAGUAUAGGAGAGGGUAGUGGAAUUCCAGGUGUAGCGGUGAAAUGCGUAGAUAUCUGGAGGAACAUCGGUGGCGAAGGCGACUACCUGGCCUAAUACUGACACUGAGGCACGAAAGCGUGGGGAGUAAACAGG